rnacentral:rRNA from 1 species
ACGCUUGAAGUCAGUCGCGUCGACCGAGACUCAGCCUUGCCUCGGCUUGGUGUACUUCUCGGCUGACGGGUCAGCAUCAAUUUUGCCCCUUGGAUAAUGGCGAGGGAAAUGUGACACCUUUACGGUGUGUUAUAGUCUUUCGUCGCAUGCAAGGGUCGGGAUUGAGGAACUCAGCACGCGCCCUCGGGCGUCGGGGUUUUCGCCCACGAUACGUGCUUAGGAUGUUGGCGUAAUGGCUUUAAACGACCCGUCUUGAAACACGGACCAAGGAGUC